AGGGAGGUUAAUAGUUUUCAUUAUGGAAAUAAUGGUUCUUUCUCCAUCCUAAAGAAGUUUAAUUACCUCUGUGAAUUUUCUGUAGAAAUUGUACAGUGAGCAGGAAAGGAACAUGUUUAUGCAGCAGCACAUUUCAUCAGGAAAGCGGUUAAGAAUGGCUACAGGAUUAUCACAAUCAUCACCCAUCAAGCUCGUGAAAGAUGGUGGAUCUCAUCCCUAGGUGGAACAUGUUUGUGGCAACACGAUCAUCUGUGAAGAAUUUGUUAUGGGGGUGAAGAAGUGGUCAAGUACUACAAAAAAAAAAAAAAAGUGGUCAAGUAGACUGCAUUGCACAGACAUGCGAGGAGGUCAUAUAAAGUCAGGUGUUGAAGAACAGAAAGUACUUGAGACAUUUGCUGGACUAGUGCAUCUAGCUUCGUGGUGACUGCUCAGUGCAUUAGAUAUUCUCUGUAUGGUUUCAGAGUUCAGAGUGGGGUGUGGGUAUGUGUGUGUGAAGAAAAAAAUCAGCUGACAGUUAGCAAAUUUCUAUUCCUGGUUUUUGAGUAAACUUUCAAAGAGGCUCCACAAUCCCUCGAGUUGUUAUGCUCUUGUCGUGCUAGUGGAUUUGCCAGAAGAAAAUAAAAGAUGAUAUCAGUCGAUCAAAUUGCAGUUUUACCAGAGGAUUCAUCAAGUUAAAACAUUUUUGCCCUACUGUCAACAUACUGCAAUCCUUUUCCUGUAUUUGAUCUCGAGACUGAUAUUGCUUUGUCAAACUACCAUCCAUGGAGUUAAACUGAGAAAGAGGAUGAAGAAAUAAAAUCAGAAAACAUUCUUAUUUU